rnacentral:lncRNA from 1 species
CCCGAAAUCCUUCUAAGAAAUCUAGCUAAGAAAUGCCGCAUAGAUUAUUGUGAGUAACUCCACACUAUUGAUUAUUUACAAAGAUAAUUGUGGUGUCCUUAAUUGUAUGCACCCUGUUUCACUUAUUUCAUGAGCAGGCAUGUAUGAAAAAGUUGGACCGUACCGUGUAAGGAGCCUUCGUGUCAUCUUCAUUGGUGUGCUUAAUCGGUCCACUUGUUGCAGCAGACUCCACACCAGCAUCAUCGGCCAAGCCUUGUUGCUCGUCACCUUUUGCUUGCCCAGCG